UGCAGUUGAUCUGUAAAAUCAGUAGGUUCUGUAUACUAAAGUAUUAAUUGUUAGGUCAUAGAAAAAAUUUCUCAAAAGAUGCUGUAUUCAUCUUCAACUAUGCAUUGUUUCCAAGUUACUAAUCUUAUGUUCUAGUUGAAGACUGGGAUAGUUUCCAGGCUAUUUUGGAUCAUACCUACAAAAUGCAUGUGAAAUCAGAAGCCAGUCUCCAUCCUGUUCUCAUGUCAGAGGCACCGUGGAAUACUAGAGCAAAGAGAGAGAAACUGACAGAGUUAAUGUUUGAACACUACAACAUCCCUGCAUUCUUCCUUUGCAAAACUGCAGUUUUGACAGCGUAUCCUUGAAAGAGUAAUACUUUUCCUCUUGAAGUGUAUACAAUACUACUGAAUGUGAAAACUCUGGGAGAAGGCAUAAGCCAAUUAUUGCAUGUUCAGAAGUUGUUUUUUUCCCUUUUCUCUUGCUUUUUAGCUAUUCAUCUUUUAGUGUUUCUUGUUAGAACUGAUGAUACACCAGAAGGUAUGAGGGAAAUAAAGUAACACUCAAAUUCUGAGUGUUAAGAUGUUUUCGUUUUUGUUUUUAAGAAGGGGCAUGUGGAUAGAAGGCAAUGUUUUAACUAGUUGGCUUAGAUGAAUUGAAAGAUUGCCAUUUUAAAAUCUCCCUCCCUUCCAAUAUCAUAGAAAACUGGAAAUUGGCUGUAAAUUCAUUCUCCAAAUUUAGUCAGUCAUCAAAUCCUACCUAUUCUUCCCUGCUAUUUGCUUUUCUGUGUCCCACUGCCACAACAUUAGGUAGAGGCUAUUUCCAGGAUUACUGAAGCACAUCCUCUUGUCUGCCCAUUCUUUACACUGUUGCUCUAAUAAUCUUUCUAUUUUUAUUUAUUUAUUUAUUUGGUAGAGAUGGAGUUUCGCCAUGUUGCCCAGGCUGCUCUCGAACUACUGGACUCAAGCGAUCUGCUUGUCUCAGUCUCCCAAAGUGCUGGGAUUACAGGCAUGAGCCACCGUGCCCAGCCUCUAAAUAAUCUUUCUAAAGUGCUAGUCUGCUUUAAGCCAGAAUCGUCUUCUACAUUUCUUCCUUUAUU
rnacentral:sRNA from 1 species